GGGUAUAUAGCUCAGUGGUACAGCACAUACUUAGCAUGCACGAGGUCCUGGGUUCAAUCCCCAGUACCUCCA
rnacentral:tRNA from 1 species